AUUGAACGCUGGCGGCAUGCCUUACACAUGCAAGUCGAACGGUAACAGGUCUUCGGAUGCUGACGAGUGGCGAACGGGUGGGUAAUACAUCGGAACGUGCCCGAUCGUGGGGGAUAACGAGGCUAAAGCUUUGCUAAUACCGCAUACGAUCUACGGAUGAGAGCGGGGGAUCUUCGGACCUCGCGUGGGCGGAGCGGCCUGUGGCAGUGUAGGUAGUUGGUGGGGUAAAAGGUUACCAAGCCCACGAUCUGUAGCUGUUCUGAGAGGAUGAUCAGCCACACUGGGACUGAGACACGGCCCAGACUCCUACGGGAGGCAGCAGUGGGGAAUUGUGGACAAUGGGCGAAAGCCUGAUACAGCCAUGCCGAGUGUAGGAUGACGGCCUUUGGGUUGUAAACUGCUUUUGUACGGAACGAAAAGCCUCUUUCUAAUAAAGAGGGGUCAUGACGGUACCGGAAGAAUAAGCACCGGCUAACUACGUG
rnacentral:rRNA from 1 species